UACAGAGGAGCCAAGCGUUGUCCGGAUUGACUGGGCGUAAAGCGCACGCAGGCGGUCGCGCGCGUGGGGUGUGAAAUCUGGCCGCUUAACGGCCAGGCGCCAUCCCAUACGGCGCGACUGGAGUGAUGCAGAGGUCGGUGGAAUUGCCGGUGUAGUGGUGAAAUGCGUAGAGAUCGGCAGGAACACCCCAGGGGGGAAACCAGCCGACUGGGCAUCUACUGACGCUGAGGUGCGAGAGCGUGGGGAGCGAACCGG
rnacentral:rRNA from 1 species